GGUCCCUAUCUGCCGAGGGCGCUGGAGAAUUGAGGGGGGCUGCUCCUAGUCCGAGAGGACCGGAGGGGACGCAUCACUGGUGUUCGGGUUGUCAUGCCAAUGGCACUGCCCGGUAGCGAAAUGCGGAAGAGAUAAGUGCUGAAAGCAUCUAUGCACGAAACAUGCCCCGAGAUGAGUUCUCCCUGAGACUGUAAGUCUCCAGAAGGAACGGUAAAGCCGAUGACGUUGA
rnacentral:rRNA from 1 species